AAAAGAAGCUUUAUUGAAAAUAUUAACCAAAAAGUAGCUACAUUAAUAGACUAUAAGGCAAAAAACAUGACUUCAGAAUAUGUGUCUUGUGGAAUACAACCAUCCAUUUCUAAUUGCCUUUUAUGCUAACUGGCUAUUACGGGUAAUGAUAUAUAAAUUAAUCUCCAUGAGUCAUUUUGUUAGACAAAGAACUUUGAUAUUUUCUUCUUCACCCUCCAACUAUAAAGGCAUAAUAAACUAACAGAUCUUUAAAGAUACCUUAUCUUUAAAAUUUGUGUAUGUCAUUACAGUCAUGUUAUAAUUUAGGAUGAUUCCCAUGCCACAGCCUGCCCUCAGAAUUUCUUCCCUAGGCAAAUCUUAGGUUAUUAACUGUCCAGGGUCAGGGGAGACUGUAGGGAAAAACCCAGGAUGACACUGCCUCUGGCAUGCAGGUGGAUGGAUGGUACUGCCAAACUCCUUGCCUGCUCUUGUCCAGCUUUCUGCUGCUCUUUCGUCUCUGCCUCCCAUAGUAAAUCAAAUGCUCAUUUAUGUGGCUUCUCUGACGCCAACUGCUUCACUUAUCACUGGGCCAAUAGCAGGAGGUAUUUGGACCAGAAUAGUUUUCCACCACCCCACUGAACUUCAAACAUUAUCCCUUCCUCCCUCUUAAUUUUGUCUCUUCAGAACACCAAAACUGGUGAGGACAAUUUCCCCAUCUUUAUUGUUUGGCUAUCCCCUAAAUUCCUGUGUUUCCUAUGCAUGUACCUAAGAAGCAGAGGUCUUACACUCUCUUGCACUCUCAGCCUUCUGGAGCUGGCAGAUUUGGACAGAGUAGAGAUAAGGUGGACAUGUUCUCUGCUUCAGCAGGUGAACUGUCCACAUUAUCACUUGAUGUAGUCUCAUCUGUGAGGAGUGGCCAUGUGGUCCGUCAGUUAGGGAGUUAUGCUGUUAAUUGAAUGGUUGGCAGUUAAAGCUGAUUGGCUUUUGACUGCCUUUAGCACUUUCUAGAGCUACACUUCAGUUUCUCUCUCAUUCUAAACAGCUUUUGUUCUGUAUUUGCCAUGCCCACCUAAGUCAGAAGUUCUGAAUAUUCCUCUGUUAAGUUGACUGUAAUUGCCUGAUAGGCUGUUAGGAGAGGUAAAUAAUUAGAAUUCAAAAUGAACAAUUGACUUCUCAGAUACUAGGUUCCAAAAGUUAACUUAAUGUACGAUUUUGACCAUUUGUGAUAUUGUGGUGACCUGUACAGUGACCUGUUGAGAGAAGUGUCUUUAUUGGCCAAAUUCCUCAUCUUUCUGGUCCAGUGUAACAUACAGAAGGUUCAAGAAAAGUUUAUGGGAUGGCAACCUAAAGGAGAGGGUGAGACUUCCUCUAUGUUCCUCAAAUCUCUUGGGGUACAUUUACAUGCAUCAUGACAAGAGAAAAUCAGAAUAAUAUAGGCAUGACAAGGGAGGGAAAUCUUCUGAUCUUUUUCCAAAGCUAACUUCCAAAGAUAGAAACACAGUAAAGUUAUUCCUCAUAUUCUAGGACACUCAUUUGUUAGUAGGUGAUGUCAUGGUGUCAGAGGUUAUACACAUGAGUGUAGCAAGGAUUUUAGCUCCAAAUGUUACAUGUCCCAGCAACACACUGGAACUUACUUCCUGCCUUGGAAGAUGCACCCCAGAGGAACAGUUGUGUAACUCAUGCCAGGCACUAAUCUUUCCAUGAUCAUAGCCCUAUCCCAGUCCCAAGGCUGUCACGUUACUGUUUAGAAACGGUCUUCAAUAAUUUUUGUUCCCAAAACACUGUCCAUUUUAUUCUUUCCCUCCCUUACCUCAGCUGACUGUGUUGCCCCUGCCUGUUGGAUCUUUGUAUAGAUGAGACUUGCCUUUGCAAUAAAGACUUAAUAGAGGUAGUAAUGAAGCCACUAUGGUGCAGAAAGAAGAAAAACAGUUGUACAUUUUGGCCUGCACUCAAACUUGGGUCACUCAGGUGGGAGAUAAAAUGCUUGCUAUUGAAGCACCAGUAUUCUUAGUUUAAGGUGUUCUUCACAGAUCAUUACACAUCCAAUAAUUCAUGAGAUUGAUUCUCCCACAACCGCCAGCAGGUCCUAGGACUUCAUCUACCAGGAUUCUUCAAAGAAAUGGAGCCACCUGUCCACACCCUGGACUCAAUGACUGCACAGAUUCCAGCACAUUAAGCAGCCAUCCCACUGUUUCUGGAGCUUGGUCUGGGAUGGAAGAGAACUGGAGCACCUCCCAGUCUCCAGGGCCCUAAUGACCGAGGGAGGGAGAACUACUGUUGCUUGGCUACUGUCUUGGUUGACAUGGAUUUAGGUACAGAUAAUAAGAAGCCUCCCACUGUUCCAACUGACCUCACAGACUGGUCACACACCUCCUUGCACUUCCUGAACUUUCUGUCAAGGGGGUAAAAUGGUCUCUUGGCUGCUGCUGUAACCCAUCACGUACCAGUGUUAAACUCCUUGGUCUGUGUUCCUGCAAAAGAGAGCGUGAAUUCAACUGACAGAGUUUGGGUACAACUUGCAUCAAAGAGAAAAACCAAGUUAAAGCUCUGAGUGAGGCCUCUGAGUCAAUUCAACGCAUAGCUGUGAAAAUGUGUAAUUGAAAUUAAUGAGUUACAUGCUUAUACUAUGAAUGCUCUUAAAGUGUUAGAGGAGAUUCUUCUGUUCAGGGUACUGUCAUGUGUAAAAAAAAGUGCUAAUGGGGUAAACUCCCCUGGGGUUUGCCACCAGUGGAUGCGUCAAAGUUUAGCAUGAGUGCCUGUACCCUCUAAUGUCCAAAGUUUCACCGUGUAGAUAAUACCCUCUUGGUUGACAAGUCAAAAAUUUUAUUAUCAACAGCUCUGACUGCAGUGUUAUCAGACUGCUACUAGCAAGAGUGACUGAUAAACCCCAAUAAGCAAGUAGCUUGCUUGUCAAGUAAAGUUACUUGGAACUAGGUGGAUCAAUCCCUCUGGCAGCCAAAAGAAAAAAACAAAAACAAAAAAAACCAAAACUGCUUUCUCUCACAAAGUAACGAACUCUGUAUUUCUGAUAUGGAAGCCACCACUGCAUGCUAGCCUUACAACUUCUGCCAAAGUUUGACCUGUUUGUUUUACAGUAAAAAUUGUUGUUCCAUGGUCUUCUGGCCUCCAUGCUUUUUUUUUUUUUUUUUUUUUUUUGCGGUACACGGG